rnacentral:rRNA from 1 species
AGAGUUUGAUCAUGGCUCAGAUUGAACGCUAGCGGGAUGCUUUACACAUGCAAGUCGAACGGCAGCGCGAGGAAAGCUUGCUUUUCUUGGCGGCGAGUGGCGAACGGGUGAGUAAUGUAUCGGAACGUGCCCAGUAGCGGGGGAUAACUACGCGAAAGCGUGGCUAAUACCGCAUACGCCCUACGGGGGAAAGGGGGGGAUCGCAAGACCUCUCACUAUUGGAGCGGCCGAUAUCGGAUUAGCUAGUUGGUGAGGUAAAGGCUCACCAAGGCUGCGAUCCGUAGCUGGUUUGAGAGGACGACCAGCCACACUGGGACUGAGACACGGCCCAGACUCCUACGGGAGGCAGCAGUGGGGAAUUUUGGACAAUGGGGGCAACCCUGAUCCAGCCAUCCCGCGUGUGCGAUGAAGGCCUUCGGGUUGUAAAGCACUUUUGGCAGGGAAGAAAAGCCGCGGGUUAAUACCCUGCGGUGCUGACGGUACCUGCAGAAUAAGCACCGGCUAACUACGUGCCAGCAGCCGCGGUAAUACGUAGGGUGCAAGCGUUAAUCGAAAUUACUGGGCGUAAAGCGUGCGCAGGCGGUUCGGCAAGAAGGAUGUGAAAUCCCGGGGCUUAACCUCGGAACUGCAUUCUUAACUGCCGGGCUAGAGUAUGUCAGAGGGGGGUAGAAUUUCCGCGUGUAGCAGUGAAUUGCGUAGAGAUGCGGAAGGAAUACCGAUGGCGAAGGCAGCCCCCUGGGAUAAUAUUGACGCCUCAUGCACGAAGCGUUGGGGGAUCAAACAGGAUUAAGAUACCCUGGUAAUCACGCGCCCUAAACUAUGUUAAACUAGCUGUUUGUGUCCUUCGGGCCUUAGUAGCGCAGCUAACGCGUGAAGUUGACCGCCUGGGGAGUACGGUCGCAAGAUUAAAACUCAAAGGAAUUGACGG